GGCAUAACAUACUGGUACAUUCAAUUAGAAUGCAGCAGUAGAAAGAGAGAGAAGUUGAAGCAACCCAGAUGUCUGAAGAAUGAACUGUGGAAAAGAAAAUAAAGGACAACUUACUUUGGUCAGUAUCAGAAUUCUGCCAUGUGUUGACUUAGACUUCAAAGCUGGUGUGGGUGAGGGUGAUGAUGUUGGUGGAGCUGCAAGAUGAAAGCAGCUGGAUCCUUGCAUCAAUGUGGAGAAAGCUGUCUGAAGGCAUACUUCAUGGAACUGGGAACUUAACAAGUUCUGAACUUCUAUGAUGCUGCAACCUUAUAUAGUACAUCAGAUUCCACCCUCAUGCUGCUGCUUGGACCUCAGUUUCUCCAUUUGGACAUCUUUACUCCCCAAGGAUUUGCUACAUCUGUAUGGAAUCAGUCUCUGGAUCUUCAGACUAGUGCUAAAUCCAUUGGCUACACUUUUAAAUGCCUAUCCAUAGGCCCCAAACCUUCCCAUUAAACAAGGUCAGGCAGGAGCUUUGCUCUUAAAUAUACUGUUUGUUCUUAUACAUAUCAUUGAUUAUCAAUACAUUCUGAAUGUUCUUGCCUUGCUUUUCACUUCCAUAACAUUUAUUUGGUAACACUUUGUAUUCUGAAUGAAUACUUUUUACAUUCUGUCUUUUUCUGAAAAGGGUUAAAGAAGCUCCAUUAGUUAACCUUCUCUAAUGCCACUUAAGCAACUGGAGAGCAGCUGUUAUGUCAGACACUUCUCUCCAGAUCCCAAAGCACCUACAGAAUGGCAGAAAAGUGAUUACGGAUAUUAGAAGUCAUGGAUUGCUGACAGGUAAUAAGUAGCAAUCCUCCUCUUAAAAUAAAUUAAACCAGAAGUUAAUUUUCUUCUCAAAGAAGUUAAUAUAGACUAAUAGUCAUUAUUUGAAAAAAUUAAAAUAAAUGGAUAUAAUCAUUAAAAACAAUAGUGACACUUUAUGCAAAAUGAAGUAGAAUAAAAUAAGACUAGAACUCCUUGACAACAGCAACCCUAUCUUAGUUAUCUGAGCAUCCUGGUGUCUAGCAAGGGCCAAGGAAAAUUAAGUGCUCUAAAACUAAUGAAUGCAAAACUUACUCUAUUCAAACAAAAUAAAGAAUUAAAAAAG